rfam:Microsporum canis CBS 113480 supercont1.3 genomic scaffold, whole genome shotgun sequence.
GAGGAGUGGGACAAACUAGCUCAGAAUCCAUUUCUUGCCUUUUACCAGAGAUGGCCGUGGUUUUGCCCAUAAUACUCCGCUCUUCAAUCUUUGAACCCCUGGAUAUCGACAACAGU